GCCAGGUGAGGUGGCACACACCUAUAAUCCCAGUGACUUGGGAGGCUGAGGCAGGAGAAUUGCAAGUUCAAAGCCAGCCUUAGCAACUUAAUGAGGCUCUAAGCAAUUAAGCAAGACCCUGUCUCAA
rnacentral:sRNA from 1 species